GUGUAUUUAUUUUACUUUAUGUCUAUGGACAGUUUGCACCACGUGGGCCUGCCUGCCUGAUAGAUAGCCGGGGUCAGGGCUUCUGGAUGGUGUGAGCCACUAUGUGGGAGCUGGAGAUUGAACCUCGGUCCACUGCAAGAGCAACACGUGUUUUUGUUUUUGUUUGUUUUGUUUUAACCAAUGAGCCCCUUCUCCAGGCCUUAAACCAGUGUUUAAUCUGGUCUGGAAACAUCUCUUAGAAAGAGGUGUCCCAAAGUUGGAACACCGCGAUCUUUUCCCUGGGACAUUGUCUCUUUGAGUCCUCACGUGUGACGUUACUAUCUUAUCUCCAGAUCCAAAGAAGCGUCUUUCUCUGAUUCCUUUUAUCUGGAAGAACUGAGAGGAGACGGGCGAACGGUUGUGAGAAUCUCUUUAAGGGGCAGUCCUGGAAUGAGUGAAGGUUUGAACGCUUUUCUUAAAAUCAGAGUCCCGGGAAAUUUUCAUUUUUUCUUCGGUUUUGGCGCCGUGCACCGCUGACUCCUGGCCGCCUGUCUCUCCUAUGGCCUGGCAUCUUCACAGAUGCAGAUUUUGAAAAUGCAUUUCUCCUUUAUCUGAGAGCCCCUCCUGCCCCCUCCUCCAGGACCGACACACUAUGCGUGGAACCUGUGAUGCUAGGCCAUCCUUCCUAUGGUUUGACAUAUUGUCUCACCAGUAAAGGGUAGAGCUGGAACCCACCAUGAAAUCCUGGCCCAGCAAAAUACGUGCCCUAGAGAAGAAGGACCACAAACUCAAGGUCACCUGGGGCUACAUACUUAAGAUCCAGUCUCAAAACUCCAAAUCAAACAAAAAUUGCGCUAAUAAUAAAUUGUAGGAAGUAAGAAGAUGACACCAGGUAGCAGGUCUCAGGCAGCCUCUUUCUGGCUUUAGACUCAUGAUGGCUUAGAGUAGUUUUGAACUCCCAGUAUCAUCUUCUAAAUGUGCAUCUCGACAAAAAAAAAAGGAAUGACUUCGCCGGGCGUGGUGGCGCACACCUUUAAUCCCAGCACUCGGGAGGCAGAGGCAGGCGGAUUUCUGAAUUCGAGGCUAGCCUGGUCUACAAAGUGAGCUCCAGGACAGCCAGGGCUAUACAGAGAAACCCUGUCUCGAGAAAAAAAAAAAAAAAAAAGGAAUGAUUUCUCUGAGAUAGGGCCACAUGUAGCCCAGGCAACCCUCAAACUGUGAAGUCACAGAUUAUCUGAUCCUCCUGCCUCCACCUCCCAGUGUAAUUAAAAGUACAGCUAGCCUGGUGGCACGCCAUGCCUGACAUAGAGAGAGCAUGCAUCCAACUAAGGGCUUCAUUCUUACUAAGGCAAGCAUUCUGCCUACUGAGCUACAUACAUCCCCGGUGCAGAGAGGAAUAUUUAUUAAGCCUUCAUCCCUUCCAUAAUUGGACAAUGUAUUGUCUUGAUGUUCUGAUGGGCAGGAAGUUAUUUAGGCAGUAUAUAAACUGUCAUACUACACAGGGCAAAAAUAUUGCUUGUUUUCAAAAAAACAUUAGAAUACAGUAAAAUGCACCUGUCAUGGA
rnacentral:lncRNA from 1 species